CAAGUGUGGUGAAACUGCACCAAUCAUCUGACUUAAUGGAAAUCUGGGCCACUAAAACUGUCUUUUUGGAGUGAAAUUUUGUUUUGAUAUUCAAAAUAUUCUUGCAUCCUUAAAAUAAUUCCACACCAGUGGAAGAGAAACCUGCUGGUUGCAGUAAGGCCCCAAAUGGACAGGACAGAUGUAUAAUCUCCAGUGUUGCCUGUAGAGCACAUGUCUCUUAUUUAACUGGGUGCCUCUGGAGACGUGCUUUAAACAGCAAGGAAGGAGACUGGAAACAGAAAGUGAUGGAAAAACAAAGAAGGUUGCGUGGAAAAAGAGAAAAUUUGCACCUAUGUC